UCCUCCAACCUUUAAAAUCAAACCUUGUUUAAAAAUGUAACGCGUCAACAAAGGGUGAACAUUUGCCUAAGAAGGUUUUGCGAUAUAUCUUCUUUUACCAGUUGCUAAAUUGGAAGUCAUUUUUAAAAAUGAGGCUACUGCUUUAUCUUGCGGUGUUACCAUGCUUGGUUGCAGCAAACUCUAUACGAUGUCCUGAUUAUUCUACGUGCCCAGUAGGAAAAACUUGCUGUGACAAACCGAGUGGCGGUUACAAAUGCUGUGACAUAGAAGAAGACGUGGAAAAAAUUUUCCCUGGAACGGCUACCGGAAUGAACAUGACACAGUCCAAGAGGUUUGACUACAACAAUGGGUGCAUGUACUGUACUGGUACCUGUUGCCCUUCUGGUUGUUGCGAAUAUAGAGGUGCGACUUGCUGCAGCGAUAGAGAAAACUGUUGCCCACGAGGCAACCAAUGUUGCAGGCGUUCUUUCAGCAUUAAAAGCGAAUGGUGUUGUCCAACAUUAGGAAGGUGUGGAUCAACGUUUGGAUACUGCUAUGGAGGAGCAGGUGCACUGAUACCAGCUAUAUCUAGCAUAGGUGCCUUGAUUUUCUUGCUUGCUCUUCGAGGGAACUCUUUCGUUUAGAUGCAAGAUGAAGCCAAAGCUAGUCAAACGUGUUAACAUCAGUUAAAUGAAUACUUUUGUGCAUAAAAAGUAAAAUAGCAACGUCAAGUAGCACAAAUUGCAGAUUUCUGCUGUGACGUGUUUCUUUUUAUCCAUAAGCUCAUUUCUUUUGCAAUGAAAAAGACCUUCCUUGUAACGCUGAAGCACGUGUCUGCGGUAAUCUGCAAUUUGUACUACUUGACGUUGUUAUUUCUGAUUGAACUUCUUAUUUUAAUUGUUAACAUCCUUUAUAUUUUUCUGAAUAAUUGACAAAUAAAUAGUUUCAG